GCGCUUCUAGCAAAGUUGCAAAGCAACGGGCAGACCUGUCAGAACGGUGAAGAUCCCGGCGAUGGAAAAAAGGCGAAACUGCUCCGCGUAGGCUGCUCGGAGUGGCAUCGCACCUUGUUCGAGUCCGAAGAAGUUCCCGCUUCUCUAAGCCGGCUGAAGGGAUGCGAGUCUCCUCUUGUCCCAACGGGACUGUGUCCUGACACAGAGUGGACUCCGCCCCAAGAGUGCGAGCGUCCUGAGCGUUCAGGGCAUCCUGAGCCGCGGAAGGCAUCCGGCCACACCCCGCUCUUUACCCGCCAACGCCAGCCCAGGUGGCCAGGCUCAGAAUGGACUGUGAGCCUGUGUGUUAUGCAUCUCUGGUUGUAGAGACAAAAGGACAAAGAUGGAACCCACCAAGGAUGCUCCCGGCUGAAUGAAUUGUUGUUCUCUGGCUUACACAAAGUCAAGCGAAUGAUCGUCCCAUGUUAUGGAACCUGCUUGGUACUGCCACAUCAGAGAAGCCUCGGGUAAGGAGACUGGAUGCUUGGAAUCAUGGAUACUCAGAGCACUGUUAACAAAGAGCAGAGUCCAGUCUUCCAGAGUCAUGACCUGAAUCCAAAGUUGAAAAGAUCUGAGCAGUGUAUAAACAGCCUGUCAUAACCUGCAUAAUACAUUUUUAGUCCUGAAUAAAUCUAUUCACACUUC
rnacentral:lncRNA from 1 species